rnacentral:snRNA from 1 species
AUCGCUUCUCGGCCUUUUGGCUAAGAUCAAGUGUAGUAUCUGUUCUUAUCAGUUUAAUAUCUGAUAUGUCCUCCAGGUGAGGACAACAUAUUAAGCGGGUUUUGAACACACUGGAGGUGAAGGUGGGCUGCUCUCUUCUCUCCAUGCAUUGACCCAGUAUUGCAGUGCUUUCUGGAACAGUGCCUCUGUC